rnacentral:rRNA from 1 species
UGGGGAAUGUUGGACAAUGGGCGCAAGCCUGAUCCAGCCAUGCCGCGUGUGUGAAGAAGGCCUUAGGGUUGUAAAGCACUUUCAGUGGGGAGGAAGGGUGUUGUGUUAAUAGCACAGCAUUUUGACGUUACCCACAGAAGAAGCACCGGCUAACUCCGUGCCAGCAGCCGCGGUAAUACGGAGGGUGCAAGCGUUAAUCGGAAUUACUGGGCGUAAAGCGCACGCAGGCGGCUUUUUAAGUCGGAUGUGAAAGCCCCGGGCUCAACCUGGGAAUUGCAUCUGAUACUGGGAAGCUAGAGUAUGUGAGAGGGGGGUAGAAUUCCAAGUGUAGCGGUGAAAUGCGUAGAGAUUUGGAGGAAUACCAGUGGCGAAGGCGGCCCCCUGGCACAAUACUGACGCUCAGGUGCGAAAGCGUGGGGAGCAAAACAGGAUUAGAUACCCUGGUAGUCCACGCCGUAAAACGAUGUCUACUAGAUGUUCGUGGUCUUGUACCGUGAGUAUCGCAGCUAACGCAUUAAGUAGACCGCCUGGGGAGUACGGUCGCAAGAUUAAAAACUCAAAGGAAUUGACGGGGUCAUAGCUGUUUCCU